rnacentral:rRNA from 1 species
UUAAAUUGAAGAGUUUGAUCAUGGCUCAGAUUGAACGCUGGCGGCAGGCCUAACACAUGCAAGUCGAACGGUAACAGGAAGCAGCUUGCUGCUUUGCUGACGAGUGGCGGACGGGUGAGUAAUGUCUGGGAAACUGCCUGAUGGAGGGGGAUAACUACUGGAAACGGUGGCUAAUACCGCAUAACGUCGCAAGACCAAAGAGGGGGACCUUCGGGCCUCUUGCCAUCAGAUGUGCCCAGAUGGGAUUAGCUUGUUGGUGAGGUAACGGCUCACCAAGGCGACGAUCCCUAGCUGGUCUGAGAGGAUGACCAGCCACACUGGAACUGAGACACGGCCCAGACUCCUACGGGAGGCAGCAGUGGGGAAUAUUGCACAAUGGGCGCAAGCCUGAUGCAGCCAUGCCGCGUGUAUGAAGAAGGCCUUCGGGUUGUAAAGUACUUUCAGCGGGGAGGAAGGUGUUGUGGUUAAUAACCGCAGCAAUUGACGUUACCCGCAGAAGAAGCACCGGCUAACUCCGUGCCAGCAGCCGCGGUAAUACGGAGGGUGCAAGCGUUAAUCGGAAUUACUGGGCGUAAAGCGCACGCAGGCGGUCUGUCAAGUCGGAUGUGAAAUCCCCGGGCUCAACCUGGGAACUGCAUUCGAAACUGGCAGGCUUGAGUCUUGUAGAGGGGGGUAGAAUUCCAGGUGUAGCGGUGAAAUGCGUAGAGAUCUGGAGGAAUACCGGUGGCGAAGGCGGCCCCCUGGACAAAGACUGACGCUCAGGUGCGAAAGCGUGGGGAGCAAACAGGAUUAGAUACCCUGGUAGUCCACGCCGUAAACGAUGUCUACUUGGAGGUUGUGCCCUUGAGGCGUGGCUUCCGGAGCUAACGCGUUAAGUAGACCGCCUGGGGAGUACGGCCGCAAGGUUAAAACUCAAAUGAAUUGACGGGGGCCCGCACAAGCGGUGGAGCAUGUGGUUUAAUUCGAUGCAACGCGAAGAACCUUACCUGGUCUUGACAUCCACAGAAGAAUCCAGAGAUGGAUUUGUGCCUUCGGGAACUGUGAGACAGGUGCUGCAUGGCUGUCGUCAGCUCGUGUUGUGAAAUGUUGGGUUAAGUCCCGCAACGAGCGCAACCCUUAUCCUUUGUUGCCAGCGGUUAGGCCGGGAACUCAAAGGAGACUGCCAGUGAUAAACUGGAGGAAGGUGGGGAUGACGUCAAGUCAUCAUGGCCCUUACGACCAGGGCUACACACGUGCUACAAUGGCGCAUACAAAGAGAAGCGACCUCGCGAGAGCAAGCGGACCUCAUAAAGUGCGUCGUAGUCCGGAUUGGAGUCUGCAACUCGACUCCAUGAAGUCGGAAUCGCUAGUAAUCGUGGAUCAGAAUGCCACGGUGAAUACGUUCCCGGGCCUUGUACACACCGCCCGUCACACCAUGGGAGUGGGUUGCAAAAGAAGUAGGUAGCUUAACCUUCGGGAGGGCGCUUACCACUUUGUGAUUCAUGACUGGGGUGAAGUCGUAACAAGGUAACCGUAGGGGAACCUGCGGUUGGAUCACCUCCUUA